UUACGGCCAUAUCACGUAAAAACACCGGUUCCCGUACGAUCACCGAAGUUAAGCAACGUCGAACCUGGACAGUAGCUAGAUAUGUGAUCACUUAGGAAUAUUAGGUACUGUAAG